GAUGAACGCUGGCGGCGUGCUUAACACAUGCAAGUCGAACGGUGAACGAGGGAGCUUGCUCCCUCCGGAUCAGUGGCAAACGGGUGAGUAACACGUGAGCAAUCUGCCCUGGACUCUGGGAUAAGCGUUGGAAACGACGUCUAAUACCGGAUACGAGCCGUGGGGGCAUCCCCAACGCCUGGAAAGAACUUCGGUCCAGGAUGAGCUCGCGGCCUAUCAGGUAGUUGGUGAGGUAAUGGCUCACCAAGCCUACGACGGGUAGCCGGCCUGAGAGGGUGACCGGCCACACUGGGACUGAGACACGGCCCAGACUCCUACGGGAGGCAGCAGUGGGGAAUAUUGCACAAUGGGCGCAAGCCUGAUGCAGCAACGCCGCGUGAGGGACGACGGCCUUCGGGUUGUAAACCUCUUUUAGCAGGGAAGAAGCGAAAGUGACGGUACCUGCAGAAAAAGCACCGGCUAACUACGUGCCAGCCGCCGCCGUAACAC
rnacentral:rRNA from 1 species